AACUCAUGUGGCCUAGUGGUUAGAGCGUUGACUUCAGGCGCAGGACGUCCGGGGUUCGAACCACGGCUGAGUCA